ensembl:lincRNA C330019F10Rik RIKEN cDNA C330019F10 gene
GGUUUUGGCUCCUGGACUGUAGAGUAGAGAGAGCUAGCUGAGGUGCCUCAGGCUGCCUCCCACCCAUGAUCCUGAGGACUAGAGUUAGAGCCAGAAUUCAGGCCACAGGUGUGGAGUAGGAAGUAAAAUGCCCUAGAACAGAGAGUUGUUACAAAAGACAGGGUUUCAGCUAUGUAUCCCUGUCCAGCCUGGCAUUCACCAUGUAUUCCAAGUUGACCUAGAACUCACAGAAAUCCACCUGCCUCUACUGCGGCAGACCCCCCAAAGCCCUCAUCACAAUGAAGUCUUAAAAUCAGGAAAUGAAUCCUGUUCAUUCCAGUUCACUCACUCAUAGUGCCAGGGACUGUUCACUGAUCGCCAUAAACACCUUCUGUAAUAGCAGACAUCACCCCACCCUGCAUCGGUCCUGCCUGGGGAAAGGUGGGGGCCGUGGGGGAGAAAUAAAAACCGAUGAAGAACG